rnacentral:rRNA from 1 species
UACGGAGGGUGCAAGCGUUAUCCGGAUUCACUGGGUUUAAAGGGUGUGUAGGCGGGCAAUUAAGUCAGUGGUGAAAUCUCCAGGCUCAACCUGGAAACUGCCAUUGAUACUAUUUGUCUUGAAUCCUGUUGAGGUGGGCGGAAUAUAUCAUGUAGCGGUGAAAUGCUUAGAUAUGAUAUAGAACACCGAUUGCGAAGGCAGCUCACUAAACAGGCAUUGACGCUGAGGCACGAAAGCGUGGGGAUCAAACAGG